rnacentral:rRNA from 1 species
GAUGAACGCUGGCGGCGUGCCUCAAACAUGCAAGUCGAGCGGGGCUAUGUAAUAUCGCAAGGUAGAACAUAGCCUAGCGGCGAACGGGUGAGUAACACGUGGGUAACCUGCCUGGAAGACAGGGAUAACGAUUCGAAAGGGUCGCUAAUACCUGAUAAUAUCCUUUCAUCGCAUGGUGAUAGGAAGAAAGGGGAAACCCGCUUUCAGAUGGGCCCGCGUCCCAUCAGCUAGUUGGUAAGGUAAAGGCUUACCAAGGCGACGACGGGUAGCCGGUCUGAGAGGAUGUACGGCCACACUGGGACUGAGAUACGGCCCAGACUCCUACGGGAGGCAGCAGUUGGGAAUCUUAGGCAAUGGACGAAAGUCUGACCUAGCGACGCCGCGUGAGGGAAGAAGGCCUUCGGGUUGUAAACCUCUGUCAUGGGGAAGAAGGAAGUGACGGUACCCAAGAGGAAGCCCCUGCUAACUACGUG